rnacentral:rRNA from 1 species
UACGUAGGGUGCGAGCGUUAAUCGGAAUUACUGGGCGUAAAGCGUGCGCAGGCGGUUGAUUAAGUCUGAUGUGAGAGCCCCGGGCUCAACCUGGGAAUGGCAUUGGAAACUGGUCGGCUGGAGUGUGGCAGAGGGGGGUGGAAUUCCGCGUGUAGCAGUGAAAUGCGUAGAGAUGCGGAGGAACACCGAUGGCGAAGGCAGCCCCCUGGGCCAACACUGACGCUCAGGCACGAAAGCGUGGGGAG